AAGACUACACUUUCAGGGAUCCAUUCUAUAGUCGUUGACUUGAGAAAUACGUUUCUCAACUGUAUGGUUUUGCUAACCGCGAUGAUCGGAUCAAAUAAUCCUUCAUCAACAUGAAACUGAGGGAGAAUAAUGAUUCUAUCCUAUGUUCUCUGUCAUUGAUGAUUGUUUGUAACUUCUUAAUGAAGCCUUGAUUGAAAGAAGGAAUGUUCAGAGUGGU